UAGUCAUACGCUUGUCUCAAAGAUUAAGCCAUGCAUGUCUAAGUAUAAACAACUUUAUACUGUAAAACUGCGAACGGCUCAUUAUAUCAGCAAUAAUUUAUUUGAUGGUUUCUUACUACAUGGAUAACUGUAGUAAUUCUAGAGCUAAUACAAGCUGCAAGACCUGACUUUACGGGAGGGUUGUAUUUAUUAGAUACUAAACCAAUGCCCGCAAGGGCAUUGUGAUGAAUCACAGUAACUGAUCGAAUCGGCGCGCAAGCGGCGAUAAAUCAUUCAAGUUUCUGCCCUAUCAGCUUUCGAUGGUAGUGUAUUGGACUACCAUGGCAGUCACGGGUAACGGAGAAUUAGGGUUCGGUUCCGGAGAGGGAGCCUGAGAAACGGCUACCACAUCUAAGGAAGGCAGCAGGCGCGUAAAUUACCCAAUCCUGAUUCAGGGAGGUAGUGACAAGAAAUAGCAACCUGGGAGCUUCUAGCUCUACGGGAUUGCAAUGAGAACAAUUUAGAUCACUUAGCGAGGAACAAUU
rnacentral:rRNA from 1 species